UAAAAAUUAAAGGAACAUCUAAACCAGCUGUGUCUGAUAGCUCAGUGGUGUGUGAAGCAACAUCGCAUAAAAACACCACUAACAUAAACACACAAGAGAAAAUCGUGCUCGCUUUGGGAUCGGCUUUGGGUUUGUGUUUGCUUCUGAUUUUCUGUCUCACUUAUUUCAUAUUGAGGAAAAGAAAAUGUAAGAAAAUGAACACGUCUAUAGAAGAUUCUCCAGGCCUGAAGCAGGAAUCGGACUCUGAAUCACUGCAUUAUGCAGCUUCACAAUUCACGAAGAGGAAAGCCAAGGCUCAGAAAAGAGACGCCACAUUACAGGAGGACUGUGUGUAUUCUGGAGUGUAUUCUGGAGUGUAUUCUGAUGUGUAUUAUGAAGUAAAAUAAAUCUGUAUGUAACAUUUAUUAAAGCAGGGUUUAUUUCUGUUCACGUCUUAUUAGGGCUGGGACGAUUCACUAAUCUGGCGAUUCAAUACUAUCCCGAUACUUUUGUGCUGAUUCAAUACAUAUUGCGAUUCUGUAGCUAUUGCGAUUCAUUGUUUAAAUUGUGAUUUUUGUUGGCUUAAUAAAGAUUAGACAAUGGCAAAUACUUGAUCAUACCCUUAAAGAGACUGUAUAUGAGUUAUAUUAACAAAAAUAAUGCAUCACAUCUUUCUGAAUUUUUAUUUC